rnacentral:rRNA from 1 species
UUAUGUCUUGGGCUUCACGCAUGCUACAAUGGCCGGUACAAAGGGCUGCAAUACCGCGAGGUGGAGCGAAUCCCAAAAAGCCGGUCCCAGUUCGGAUUGAGGUCUGCAACUCGACCUCAUGAAGUCGGAGUCGCUAGUAAUCGCAGAUCAGCAACGCUGCGGUGAAUACGUUCCCGGGUCUUGUACACACCGCCCGUCAAGUCAUGAAAGUCGGUAACACCUGAAGCCGGUGGCCUAACCCUUGUGGAGGGAGCCGUCGAAGGUGGGAUCGGUAAUUAGGACUAAGUCGUAACAAG